GAGUUUGAUCGUGGCUCAGGAUGAACGCUGGCGGCGUGCCUAAUACAUGCAAGUCGAGCGAACUGAUUAGAAGCUUGCUUCUAUGACGUUAGCGGCGGACGGGUGAGUAACACGUGGGCAACCUGCCUGUAAGACUGGGAUAACUUCGGGAAACCGAAGCUAAUACCGGAUAGGAUCUUCUCCUUCAUGGGAGAUGAUUGAAAGAUGGUUUCGGCUAUCACUUACAGAUGGGCCCGCGGUGCAUUAGCUAGUUGGUGAGGUAACGGCUCACCAAGGCAAUGAUGCAUAGCCGACCUGAGAGGGUGAUCGGCCACACUGGGACUGAGACACGGCCCAGACUCCUACGGGAGCAGCAGUAGGGAAUCUUCCGCAAUGGACGAAAGUCUGACGGAGCAACGCCGCGUGAGUGAUGAAGGCUUUCGGGCGUAAAACUCUGUUGUUAGGGAAGAACAAGUACGAGAGUAACUGCUCGUACCUUGACGGU
rnacentral:rRNA from 1 species